rnacentral:misc_RNA from 1 species
GAGGUCUGCAGUACAAGUCUGUGAUGCUGUUAUUUAUAAACAGAAACAGUGAUUUUAGUUUUUUUCCUGUUUUAAAAAUCACAUAAUCACAAAACACCGAACUCAAUCAAUUAUAUCACGCUCCAUUUAUUACAUCAUGUCAGAAAUCUAUUGAUGCAAAACUGUUGAUGCUGUUAUAUAAAGACUUCCUAAAAUAUAAUAAAUACAUCAAUUGUCUUUUCAUUGUAUAACUGUCAUACUCAUCCACACAAUGUUCUGUUAUAUGUAUGAUUGCUGUAGUUGACAGAUGGAUCUGAGAUAUUUUUUUGUCUAUGUUGUAAUUGUUCAUGUUAUGUCAAAUUAAUGUAAAGUAGGAGAAUAUUGUAUUGAGAAUUUCUUUUAAUUUUUUCACUUUUUUUCCUCAAUUUUGUGUGCAUCUUUGGUAUUUAGUUGUGUGUCAAACUCUAAGCUGCAGAUUGUUUUCUUCUUCCAUCAGUUGACGCAAAUUUUAGUUGUAGUAACAGAAAUUCAACAAUCGCUUAUGAUGCAUCAACAGAGUUUUAUCACGGCAAUUUUAUAAAUAAUGAAUAUUUGUAAGCAUUACUGAUUAAAUAUAUCUAUGAAACAU